GAAAUGACUUGGGCGAAGCGACUCAGGAAAGAAGGGAACACAUUGCUCUCAGCUCACGGGAGGAGGGAAGACCUUCUCCUGUGGUGGCUCACGGCUGAAGAUUCCGUGUUGUCCCGAAGCAUGUCAGAGCUCGUGACUCACCAGGUAAUAGUGGCACCACAAGAUCUGAGCACAAUAAAUCUUGACGGAAUCUUGACAGUCUCCUUCUAGUUCACGGAGCCAAAUGAAGGUGAGUGAGGAAAGGCUGUGUGCUGCGAUGGUGGCGGGUUUGAUGGACAGCCUACGUGUGCUUAUCAUUCACCCUUGACAGCAGCCAACCCGCAGAGUGAAGGUAGGUGCCCUCAACAGACAACAGUGAGGGGAAAUGCGCUGUAGACAAAAAGGAGUACUGCUCAGCCAGAAAGAAGAAAAUUACGUCAUUUGCAGGAACAUGGUAGAAGUGGUGAUCAUCCUGGUAAGCAAAAUCAGCCAGUGUCGCAAAGAUAAGUCUCAUACAUAAGAGGUAGGAGAAAGACGAAAGGGGGACAAAAUCUUCAUUUCCAGUUUAAUUGAAAGAAAAGACUAUUAGGGAUGGGGGGAGGGGACUGGAGGAAAAGAGUAAUAGAAGAGGGGAUAUGAUCAAAACCCAUUCUCUCUACAUGUGUGGGAAUGUCAUAAUGACAUUUAGCUUUGUAUAAUUAAUAAAUGUUAUAACAGAGAGGAAAGGAAAGAGAAGAAACAUCUUGAAGAAAACCACAUGAAGAGGAUGAGUGCUGUGUGGACUUCCUGCUUCAUACUCAUGCCCCCUGACCUCCCCACCCACCUUUCCUGCUGGUAUCAUCACCUUGGGUUGUACCCAGGAAGGAUCCAGGCCUUACUCUUUAAGCUCAUGAGUUCCCUCCUUCCCAGGGAGAAGCACAGGUGAGGCCCUGAGUUUAUCUGGUUCUGGGGAUGGAAUCCAGCAGGAAUGCCUGGUGUAUGGGACCACUUGGCAGUGUUUACAUUUUGCUAGAGAGAAGUAUUAACUGAGAUUAUGGGGAGAAAUGCAGUGCAUAUUUUAGCUCGCAGACCCUUUCAUUUUCCGGUAGUGUGUUUCAGAAAACUGGAGCUAGAGUGUAGGUAGUUGAUGAUUCAGCGAGAGCCAUCUCCUUCUCCAUGCAUCUCAGGACCAGAGGUGGGUAGUCCACUGUCCCCCACAGAGCUUGCUCCCUGACUGCUGAAUAAUCUUCAUAGUUUCUCCGUCUAAGCUAAACGCUGUGGGUGCUGCUCCUCAGUGGAAACAGGAUCAGUUGGCGACUGCUCCUGACAGAGAGCAAAGAACUCCCUGAGAACGUAGCUCACUGCAGCAGCCCCCACAGCCCAGCUCUGGGACUUGGCCGGAGUCUUGCACUUCAAAGAAGCUAGGGGCACCAAGCCUGUACCUGCUUCCUGUCACUGCAGCGUGUGUGACAAAACCUGUGUUUAACUUGGGUGAGCGUCAGAACAUUCCAACUAAGAGCCUGCGCAGAAGGUCCACAUGUGAACCCUGUGUCACGCUCCCAGCCCUGAACAGUUUCCAGUGGGGCCGACAAAGUCACCGCCAUGUGGACACAAAGGCCAUGCCUGGGGUUGAAACGAACUAUUUAUCCACUUACUAAACCGGGACAGUUACUCUCAUGGACAGGGCUAACACCCAGAACUGCUGGGUCCAAAUUCUGAAUAGUCUCAUUGUAUUCAGUGUUUUCCAGAGCAUGAAUCUUUCCCAGCUUUGUGAAAAUACAAAGAUGGGUUUAAAUUCA